UUUUUUUUUUUUUUUUUAAAGAUAGAUAUCUUUUAUAUCUUUUUUUUUUUAAUUUUUUUUAUUUAUUUAUGAUAGUCACACAGAGAGAGAGAGAGAGAGAGAGAGAGAGAGGGCAGAGACACAGGCAGAGGGAGAAGCAGGCCCCAUGCACCGGGAGCCCGACGUGGGACUCGAUCCUGGGUCUCCAGGAUCGCGCCCUGGGCCAAAGGCAGGCGCCAAACCGCUGCGCCACCCAGGGAUCCCGUUUUUCCCUUUCCUAUUCAUUAUUCAGUUGCCUUCCCUCAGGUCAGAAAAACUCUCAUUUCAUCCAGGACUGGCUCAUCAGUGUCUCCUCUUUGGUGCUUUCCCCUGAUGGGUGAUGUACAGAUAUACAUAGAUACCCACAGCCCUCCCACUGCUUCUUUCACAGGUCCUUUCAGAAUGGUUAUGUGCCUCCCACCAGAGCCCACUCCUACUAUAGCAUUUAUAAGUUCUAGCAAGUGUGAGACAUUACUCAUUUUUUAGUCAAAUGUGAAAGAGAAAGACAUAUGAAUGGCAAGAUGCAACAGAUCCUUAAUGUGCUAGAUAAAGCUAAAUUACUACAUUAUGCCAUAGGACUACAAACCUUCCAAGUGAUGUUCCUGCACAUGACUGCCUCACUAUUCAUUAAAAUACUGUAGCAAGCAGGGGCACCCGGGUGGCUCAGUUGGUUAAGCGUCCAGCUUUUGAUUUCAGCUCAGGUCAUGAGUUUGAGCCCUGUGCUGUUGGGCUCAUGCUCAGAGGGGAGUCUGCUUGAGAUUCUCUCUCCUUCUCUCUCUCUGCCUCUCCCUCCCAGUAAAUAAGUAAAUAAAUCUUCAAAAAACAUAUUAUAGCAAGCAGCUAUAAUAACUAAGAGAGUGCAACCUCUCAAUUUCUAAGAGAUAAUGCAAUUGACGCAAAGUCAAAGAUUGUCUUUUAAUCUUCAAGUUCCUACUUCCCUCAUUUUUCUUAGUGCUCACUGCUUGUAUCUUCUGAGAGUAAACUGUAAAAGCCAGCAGAAAAUUAUAUUUAUUCACAUAUUUCCCCACAUUAACUGAUCCCUAAAGUGAAUGUGAAAUGAAGAAAAUAUAUGUGUAAACCUGUAGGUUACAGAGGAGAAAGCAGGGAGGAGUAUUCCCUCCGCAAACCUACCCCACCUGCACUUGCUGCCAGUACAGGAAGGCUGCUAAGCGUAGCAGGGGAUGCAGGUCAAGAACAGGUGAGAAGGGGCGACUGCCGGCUUUCUUGUCAAUCACACAUGCUUCAAAUGAAAAGAUUAAGAGAGAAAAGUCUAAUAAAUAUACAAAUGUCACUUUUCACAUCUUAGCAAACUACUUUCUUUCCUCUGUUUCUCAUAGACAUAUCAAUCUAUGAGGCGUACCCAUUUAAAAUAAUAUUUGAGGGACGCCUGGAUGGCUCAGCAGUUGAGCAUCUGCCUUCAGCUCAGGGCAUGAUCCCAGAGUCCUGGGAUCAAGUCCCAUAUUGGGCUCCCAGUGAGCAGCCUGCCUCUCCUUCUGCCUGUGUGUCUCUGCCUCUCUCUGUGUCUCUCGUGAAUAAAUAAAAUCUUAAAAAAAAUAAUAUUUGAGUCUGAACAGGGAAGAACCUGGAAAGAAAGAAGUAAUUGUCCUUUGAAGCUGUGUAACUGACAAAUAUAUUUGGUAAACAGGAGACUCGAAGAAAAUGAAAAUAAGGAGUCAUGAGAUUUUUGCUUAGUUUUCCCUUUCCUCAAAUUUAGAAUGGAAAUGGGGUGGGGGGACAAGGAAGUAUGCAGUUAAAUACGGCAUAGAUUAUUUCACAAGUGUAUAGCUUGUAAAUUAUGCUGUUACCAGCUGCUCAGGGACUGUGAUCUUUAGACAUCCAUCAGAACAGUGAAAAGGAAAAAAAAAUCCAUGUUAGAGGAGCAGAUAAGCAUGUAAGUCCCAGCAGAAACCACACGUGUUAGGUACAUGCAGGAGAAAACAACUGGCCUUCUUGAAGAACAGGUUUGCCCACAACUUUAAAAAACAGACUUCCAGGGAUCCCUGGGUGGCUCAGCAGUUUAGUGCCUGCCUUCAGCUCAGGGCG
rnacentral:lncRNA from 1 species